rnacentral:pre_miRNA from 1 species
UCUCAUGCAGUGAUUCUCCAAGGGGUGGCACUUUCUGUCUGAAAUAAAGCAAAGUGCUUCCUUUUAGAGAGUUACUUUCUGAGA